UGGGGAAUUUUGGACAAUGGGCGCAAGCCUGAUCCAGCAAUGCCGCGUGCAGGAAGAAGGCCUUCGGGUUGUAAACUGCUUUUGUCAGGGAAGAAAUCUUCUGGGCUAAUACCCCGGGAGGAUGACGGUACCUGAAGAAUAAGCACCGGCUAACUACGUGCCAGCAGCCGCGGUAAUACGUAGGGUGCGAGCGUUAAUCGGAAUUACUGGGCGUAAAGCGUGCGCAGGCGGCUUUGCAAGACAGAUGUGAAAUCCCCGGGCUCAACCUGGGAGCUGCAUUUGUGACUGCAAGGCUAGAGUACGGCAGAGGGGGAUGGAAUUCCGCGUGUAGCAGUGAAAUGCGUAGAUAUGCGGAGGAACACCAAUGGCGAAGGCAAUCCCCUGGGCCUGUACUGACGCUCAUGCACGAAAGCGUGGGGAGCAAACAGG
rnacentral:rRNA from 1 species